rnacentral:lncRNA from 7 species
GAUCCAUUUUUUGAAGAUCUGGACCGUUGGUUCCUGAAGCUUUCUGGUGAUAGCCUCAGACUCUUCAGGUCUGUGGAGGAAAUUACAUCUACUAGAACUGGAGUUACUUCAGAGAAGUAGCUGUACAAGGGAUGACUGCUGGCACUUCAUUUCAAAUUGAUAAAAAAAAAAAAAAGGAAAUUCUUAACAGACUUCAAAGGUUGUUGAAGAGAUGACUGUCUUCUGGAAGGCCACCAGGAAAGAAAGUACUCUCUGUUUCAUACAGUGAAGAAGUCUUCCCUCAAAACAGACCCAUCCAACACCGAAACUAGUUUGUUAAGAAAAGCUUUAUUUGUAUCCUAACACUGACCUGUCUCCAGCAAGCAGAGUGAGUUGUCAAAACAGAAAAAUAAAGUUUCAGGUCCCCAGAACAACAGACAUUUCCACAGCGAGUAUAAAGGAACUGCAGUGCUACCAUCUUACAUCCACCUCACCAAAGGAAAACUAGAUUGAAUUAUUAUUGAAAGAAAAUACCAAAGUAAUAAUAAACUCUAUUUUAGAAGAAGUUUAUUGACACUUUAUAGUCACAGAAAAAUUUUGGUGACUAAUGGUGACUUUGGCAGAUGCAAUCAUUUUUGAAUGAUUUAGCUCUCUGGGAAACGUCUAACCUAAUUCAUUUCACACAGUACAUUGUUAUGUGUAUAUUAAAUGGUUGGCUCGUCUUCAUCAAGACAAUUAUAAUAAAAACUUUAACUAGUUCCUCACUUAUGAAGUUAUAAUCUUCACAACCUCAUUUCAGUAAGUUAGAAACUGACAGUAUAUUGAGAAUUAGCGUCUAAAAAUCCCAUCUUUAACUGAGAAGUUGACUUACAUAGGGCAUUUUGAAUAUUAUGAGUUUUAAGUAGAAAAAAAAAUUGUAUUCAAAAACACCUGAUUUUCAAAGUAUACGUCCUAUCUUUGAUAUAGUGCAUCUUAAGGACAUUUUAAAAUUUCUAUGUGGCAUUAUUAUUUCACAGUCAGAUUCUAAUUGCAACAUUUAUUAAACAGCAAUGUGGAUCAAACAAAAUUAUAGAACAUUUUUUUCAGAAUAAGUAAUCUCAUUGAAAGGAACACAUGUUGCUAAAUUUUAUUAGUUGUAAGAUCAUUUCCAAUAAGAGAAAAUUUCACUUCUUGCUUUCUUGAUUUGGUUCCAUGAUAAAAUAUUUUCAUAAGUUAUGAAAUGAUUUUUCUUUAUUUGGCAUUUAAGUUUAUGCAUCUAUCAAUACUAUGAACUAACUUAUUGAAAGAAUUACUAAAUUUUACAAAAUAAAUAUUUCUAUUUUGAUAUAAUUUUUCAUAGUUCGGGUUCUUUCCAGAAUUUGUAAUUUUAACAGCUUCCUAUACUAGUAUCACAACUAGUUUAAACGUGAAAUUUCAAUUUAAUAUGUAUCUUCUGCAUUGUCAUGAAAUCAAGCUAAGAAAUUCUGAAAUUAUGUAGAUAAUCAAUGGAGUAUUUUUUAUAUUCCAAGUAUGAGUUUUCAUGCAUUAGAGAAAUAUUUCUUCAGUUUGUUUCCCUUAAACUUGUUUGGAUUUCAAAACUUAAAUGACUAAUUCUGAUCUUCAGUUUUAUAGUUUCACUAGCACUUGUUCAAACAAAAUUUAUGAUUAUCUUUCAGUCAUAAAUUUUAAAAUAUAUUUGCUAUCCUGGCCCAGUGAAGCUACUGACAGUAGAGUGAUUAUCAGAAAUUAGCAACGACAUGCCUAAAGUGAUGCAUUAGUACAACUAUUGAGUUAUGUCUUCCAUAGUUACAGAUGUUGUUUUUUUCUGUUCAAGAAGUGUUUCUAAAUUCAACAUUC